GCUAAUUAAAUUAUACCAUUCAUUAAUUUCACACACAAUAUGUAAUGAUUUUCCUUACAAAGAAAAGGUUUAGUUGGGUCAGGCCAUAAACAAACCCGACCCGACUCAACCCAAUGCAGUGAAUCCAUGUAUAUAUAUAUAACCUUCUAAGACAAAACUGCUAAUAAUAACUUAUUAUAUGGAUCUCCCAACACAAAAUAUUCUCUCUUACAUAUAUAUACAUAUAUUAACUUAAGCUUCCUUCAACCUUAUAUUCUCUCCCCAUCUCUCCCCUCUCUCUCUCUGUCUCUACCACACGCGUGCACGUACAUGCAUAUAUAUUCAAAUUUUUACAUCUUAAAUAAUGUCAUGAUCGUCCUAUAGUCACCAUGAUUAAGCACAUUUAAGCGAAGCAAAUAUAUAUAGAGAGAGAGAAAGAGAGAGAG
rnacentral:misc_RNA from 1 species